rnacentral:rRNA from 1 species
GGAAUAUUGGUCAAUGGGCGCGAGCCUGAACCAGCCAAGUAGCGUGCAGGAUGACGGCCCUAUGGGUUGUAAACUGCUUUUAUACAGGGAUAAAGUAGGGAACGUGUUCCCUUUUGCAGGUACUGUAUGAAUAAGGACCGGCUAAUUCCGUGCCAGCAGCCGCGGUAAUACGGAAGGUCCGGGCGUUAUCCGGAUUUAUUGGGUUUAAAGGGAGCGCAGGCCGGAGGUCAAGCGUGACGUGAAAUGUAGGGGCUCAACCUUUGAAUUGCGUCGCGAACUGGCUUUCUUGAGUGAGUACGACGUCAGCGGAAUUCGUGGUGUAGCGGUGAAAUGCUUAGAUAUCACGAAGAACCCCGAUUGCGAAGGCAGCUGACGAGUCCUUAACUGACGCUAAAGCUCGAAGGUGCGGGUAUCGAACA